UCCAGAGUGCUUCCCUCCCUGCAGCGUUACCCCUGGGGCUGAGUUGUUCUUCUCUGUUGAGGGUGGGCAGAAGCCGACACAGCAGAGAACGGCUGUAGAGUUCUCCCUGGAUAGAGAGUAGGAGGAGCCGGAUGGAGGCGGCUGGGGAGGCUCUGAGUGGGAGUUGUUGCUGCUGGUGGGAGCGAGGCGUUUUCUGCUGCAAGAUGUGGAACUGCCAGAUUCCGAAUCAGACCAACACCUUCAGGAUUUGUUUGUGACCUCCAGAGGUUGUUUGGUUGUUCCAUUACCAGAGCUUGCUGCAGGGCCUGGCUGAGCCCCUUCUGCUGCCAUUUCAGCUCUUUCCUCUGCACGGCACCAGAACAAUUGGAAGGCAUAACCGGGCACACAUGAUGAAAGCGUGACUUCAGUAGCUCCGUGUUGGCAGAGGCACAGAGCGCUAUUGCUCCGCCGCCCCUCUGCCCCGAGCUGCAGCAAUACUACAGGCGAAAGCAGGGACGGGCCCUUCUGCUGCGUGAGGAGGCUGCCACUGGCCCUGAGCAUAUUCACCAGUCUUGAGAGUUGCUGUGCCACAGCUGGAUGCUCAUCUGUCCAAGAACCAAGUAUUUCUCUGCCUUUCCACAGCCUGCAAUGCAGUCAGGAAGCAAAGAAUACUAAGGGAUGUUAGCAGCUGCCAAACUGCCAGAGUUACCACAAGGCCUGACGACACGCUGCUGCUGGGACAGGCAGGACGGGACUGUGGGCUUGUCUGCUCUGCUGGAAAACAAGCAGCCAGGAAUGGGCAAGCACAAGCAACCUGCAGAGCUUGGUGACCACAUUUCUUUGGUGCCUGCUGUCCAGCUGGAAAAGAGGUGGAACUUCAGAAUGUGCAGCCCUGAGGACCGCAGAGGGAGAUGGGAGCAGCACAGUGGAAGGCAGCUGUAAAUCCCCACAGAAGAAUCGGGUGGGAUUCCCAUUUGUUAUUCUAUGUGGUAAUGUAUUAAUUCCUUCACUAAACUCUUCUGAUUAUUUUUAUUACCCUUCUGAUGUCACUCUGAAUAUUGCUGUUAUCCUUAUAAAUACACAAACCCCUUUCUGCAGAAUUUUAGCCAUCCAACCAACAUGCCCUGUGACCUUGAAGUCAGUACACUCAAUUCGUCAGUCGAAUUGAAAAUAAUUGAACUUUGGAUGAAAAGUUCACUAUGUAGCUGUAAGGCAAAUACAUUUGAUAUGGUUCAAGGUGUAAGUAUGUGAGCAUAAAAUGAAUAUCAUUCUAAUGGGAUUUGUAUUUUCCUAGAUGGAAGUGGACAAUUUUGACAAUACAUCUCCAUGCGAAAAAAAAGGUGUGUUUACAAAGGCAAGUGUCAGGUUAAAGACACAAAUGCUGUAUCAUACAGAGGCUUUCAUUAAAGAGAGGAAUUACUUGAAGUUGAUGUGGGCAAAGCGUACCUCUGUGUUUAAUUCACAAUAGGCAUACACAGAAGCCCACACUUCGUCUUGCAAACCUUGCAAAGGUUUGUCCAGGCAGAAAGAGCCCUGCAGAUGCCCCAGGCCUGGCCAGGAGCACCCAGCUCUGCUGGCAGCAACCUGGCCUGCUGCUGCUGAUGGAGCUCAUCUGCAUGGUGAGCUGCAGGGCAGCCGCAGUGCGGUAGGUACUCGAGACACUGCUCUGAGGGAAGCACCUGCAAAGCCACCGCUGCACCGUGUGGGUCUGCUGGGGCAGGAGUGGCAGCAGACAGGAGGGCAUGCAACAUGGCCCCCAGCCACAGUGUUUGAAGACCUGGAAACAGGAAUGCAUCCAUUCUCCUCCAGUUUAAUACAGAAACUCCUGAUCCUCUCCUGAUACCAGCUGUGAGUUGAUGUUAGUGUCGAUGAAUAGCAAAUACUCCCCUGACAUCAAUCUAGAUCACGUUUCAUUGCAGAAGGAUUGUCUUCAAAUAGGCUGCUGCUGCUAUGUUUAGGACCUAUUUUCCAUGCUCAAUGAUAGUGUCCUGCAUCUUUCCAGAGCUACAUCACCCCAGUGUCCUGGCUAGCUUUGGGCCCAGCCCCAUAAGUCGCACUCCCAUGAGUAAGCCUUAUCCAUGAAUACAGUGAGUCUCAUGUCAUGACAAAAAGCUUUAAUAAAAUGCUGUUCUAUGAGCACAAUGAAAAGCCAAUCUAAUCAGUACCCAGAAUCAGUACACCAGGCCCUAACACCCCUAAAGUGAGCACACAUGUUGGGUAACCAACAUGAAGAAGCUGAUUCUGAAGACCUACCUAGAUAAUAUAUUUAUUCUUUUCAAUACAUAAAUCCUGAAUAGGGCUCUGGAAAUUGGAAUUGUGAAAAUAAUUAUGGUGAUGAUAAUGAUAAAUUUAAAAUGCUUUCCAGACCAGAAGCUGAGGAAAUCUCUAGAGAGGUCUUUUGGUGGAGUUCAUAAAUCUUAACACCAUUUUUAAUUAUUAGUUAUUUCAUAAUCUACAUUGCUUACUUAGCAACUGCUUUGGUACUGAGUAUGCCAUCCUGGCUACCUACGUUUUUGCCAUAGGCAAGGAUCUCAGAACUCCAUUUGGAUCAUCUGUCAUCCCCAAUCUGCCUACAUUGCUAUUCUAUAGCUGCAGAUCUCAAGAUGAUGAACAGUGCUGGAUAUUCAUCAACCUUAUUUAAAAAAUGGAGUAACUAUGAUGUAAUGAGAUUAAGAAAUUUGGUUGAUGCCAUUAAGCGCAUUAGCAUUUAUACAAAGAUUAGAAGACAUUUCCCUAUUCCUGGCACUGCUCGUAACCCCCCGGAUAUGAGGGCCCGAGCCACUUCUUACUGCCAUUUGCUGUUUCAGCAAAUUGAGGCACUGAAGGAGGCAUUAAUUCACUCUUCAGGGGUUUUAAGAAACUUUUAUAUGACUAAAAGAGGACUUCAGAUGCUUCAAAGAAGAGAGAAUGCUGGCACUAUCAUGGCACUCCAGGGACUGAAACUCAGUCUGCAAAAGCUCAUACAAAUUCAAAAGAAGGAGAAUUGUAUUUAUGGAGAACUGAUGCUCUGCAUAUAGAAGUGUGUGUUUUGGUAGACAUUGUGAGCUUCAGGAAGCCAUUGAAGGGAAUAAAAUACAAAUAUACAGCCAUGAUAUUUUAUGAUGUUUCCUUUCUUAGGCCUUUUUGGAGGUUAUCACAUCUUUGGUGGGUAUUUGGCAUAGGGUUAAGUAAACUCAUGAGGAAAAUGUAAAGGUAGGAAAUUGAAGCAACUGAUUAUGCAGAUUCUGUAAUUUUCAUAGUUAUCCACUGGGGACUUCUCAGGUCCUUUGUGUUACAGAAGUCAGGUUUUGCAGUCAGAAUGUACACAGUCUCUAUGACUUCAUGUGAUAGUGCAGUUGUUCCAGACGGGUAUCAAUUCAGUCAAGAGCAAAAAAUGAUGUUAGCUGUAUUCAGUGAAUUUGGAAGUACCAUUGACAUCAAAUUUCUUUGCCUCUGGUGGGUUUUUUUAAGCACCCAUACAAAGCACUAUUUUAAAUUUUUAAGAAACUCAAAUAUAAGAUAUGAAGGCAAAUGCUGCUACAUUAUUCUAUUGUUGUUUUAGAACUUUUGAACAUAAGCUUACAGUUCUAACACAUCAUUAACGUCCAUGCCUUCCAUGAUGUUCUGGAACUUUCUCUUUGCAACACAGCAUGGAAAAGGCUGAGGAUAAGUGGUUGCAAGUUUACAGAUUAUAAGAGAUGUGAUGUGAGCUCGUAAUUCAGGUUCUGUGUCAUCUGUGGGAAAAGCCAUAGAAUGCUCAUCGCUACUCCUUGCACACACCCAGAUGUGGUAUCAGAUUCUGAUCUCUUUAAUCAUUAAAACUUUUCAUUAUUAUUUGAAUCAGCACGCUGUCUGGAGAGAUUCUUGCAGAGCAGAAUGUUACUUUGCCGUGUGUUCCCACCUCCUGCUCUGCACUGGUAAAUGUCUGAAAGACUUGAGUUAGUAUGUGAUAUUCCGUGUAAAUCUGACUUCAAAAGCAGAUGAAGGAUUGCCUUGCAGUCACGCUCCUACCACCAGCACUCUGUUAUAAAGCUUUUUCUUUGACAGCCGAGUGGGCAAGUACUCGUAACUGCUGCCCAGUGGAGCUCCCCUGAGUUGGGCUGGGGGUCAGUGGGGACAGCGAGGGUGUGGUUUUUCAUUCUUGUAUUUCUGCAAGAUGAUUUUGAAAGGUAUUGUCUAACAAUUUACAGAUCACAGACAGGGUUAGAGGGUUCCUACUUGCGUGAAACUCUAUGAUUCAUGGAAAGAUGCAAUACGCCUUGCACGUUCUACAGGAUGAAGUCAUUAGAACCCAUCACAUCAUUUUAGCAUCUGAUGGCAUUAGCUUUCAAAACGUGUGCUUAGAUUAGCUUGCAGAAAGUGUAAACUCAUAGGCUUCUGUGGCAACUCUACUGUCUGAUGAGAAAAGCGGGAGCUCGGCGCAGAAGUAUUGGACUGCAUCACAGGGAGCGUGGCCAGCAGGUCAAGGAGGUGAUCCUGCCUUCUGCUCUGUGCUGUGGGGCCUCACCUGGAGCACUUCAUCCAGAUGUGGAGACCUCAGGGCAAGAGAGACACAGAGCUGUUAGAGUGUGUCUGGAGGAGGGCCACAAAAAUGACGUCAGGGAUGGAACACCUCUCCUGCCCUGGGGACAGGCUGAGAGCUGGGGCUGUGCAGAAUGGAGAGGGGAAGGCGCUGGGGAGACCUGAGAGCAGCCUGUCAGUACCUAAAGGAGCUGUAAGACAAAGGGGACAGACUCAUUAACAGGAUGUGUUGUGACAGGACAAGGGGAAAUGGUUUCAAACUGAAGAAGGGCAGAUUUAGGCUGGAUAUAAGGAAGAGGUUUUUAACAAAUGGGUGGUGGGGCACUGGCACAGGUUGCUCAGAGGGGAGUGGUUGUCCCAUCCCUGCAGACAGCCAAGACAGCCUGGAUGGGGCUCUGAGCACCUGAUGGAGCAGUGGUGUCCCCUUUCACUGCAGAGGAGUUGAACUGGAUGAUCUUUAGGCGUCUCUUCCAACUCAGAUGAUUCUAUGAUUACAGAAGCCUCGUGUUUUGGAUACAGCUUCCAUCCAGAGUCAGUCAGAUAAUCCAUCAAUCCACUACAGUACAAAAAAGGUACUCUGACUUUCAUAAAAAGUUUAAGUUGGUGCAGAAUGUAGGUUUUGUGUAGCAUGUUUAUGUAAAAAAAAAAAAAAAAAAAAAAAAAAAGGGCCAGAGAACCAAUUGUGGCUAAUCAGUGUCCCAUAUGACAUGGCAGCAAUACAUCUGUCAAAAAUUACUCAGAACCUAAAUAUGUAGAAGUUCCCACGCACCUUUAUUUGUCUAGCUGUAAUCUUUGCUCUUGAAUGUGUGCUUACCAAAGAAAAAGGGGAAGAAAAGGCAUUGUGUGUGUUUAAGUGAAAUGUGAGGGGCACACGUACUGAUCCACCUUUGAACCUGCGUAUCUCCUCUAUUUCAGCUGAGUGUUGUCUCAGCUUGAGAUCCAGAGCACAGAUACCAGCACACCAAGCAACCGGGGCUUCCUGGGGAAUUCAUUUAAAUAGGCUGUCUCCAUUUAUUGUAGAGUUGCAACUGCUUUAAUGUCCACUCUGUAACAUCUCUCUCACCUUAGGAAGACAAACUUUCUGCUCCACACUUCCUUACUCCUGUGCUACAAGCACUGCAUGAAGACGUGCCCUGUAGGAUCUCAGUACUGCCAACUGAUCUACGACUAUAGAUCAAGUUGUGCCAUGGGAUAUUUAAAGCCUCUGACCGGCUGUUUGCAACCUGUGUACAUCUUUUUUUCUUAGAUAACACCCAGUGUUAAUGAAAAAAACAAUGCCCAGCUGUUAUUUGUGCUUUUAGUGAAGGAUAAUAGGUACCUUUUUGCCAGACGGAAAGAUUAAAAAGGCAUACAAAGUUAUCAAAGAGUUUAUCGAACUACUCGAGUGGUAAAAAUGGACAUCUUUACUCAAAAUGAAUUUGAAAUGUAUGAGGGAAUGUGCUGCUGAACUCCAGAAAGCCAUCCACAUUGCGCUUUUAAUUAGGUUAAAUGAAACCUGAUCCAGAUUCCACUUGGUCGUUAGACUGGAAUGCUGAAAAUGCUGUAAUCUACUUAUACAUCAUAUUGAAGAAGUUUUCUGUUUCUUUAAAUUUCACUGCAUUACAAUGUGUUAAGUAAAUAACCAUGAUUCACAAACUGACAGAGAAAGAGAAGACAUACCAACCCAAUUUAUUUAUCACAAGGCCAGGAUUUAGUUACUGUCUUUUAAACUAAAUACCAAAACCAGAUGUGUUCUAUAUACAACCAUCAACAUCGGUCUUGAAAACUUGAGAAGAAAGUUUCUGCCAUUAUCAGGUCAGAUAAUAAAGACCGAAAGAGAAAAUGAUUGCAGUCUCAGCUGCAUAAGGAUACCUCCAUAGAUUUUGUAAGUUACAGCAGGAGGAGAUGUGGGAUGAUGGGGCGUUCAGCUCUGCUGAGCGGGUGCAGUGCCAUAAUCCCCUUCCAUGAAACUGUGGAAUAGAGAGCAAUUUUAUUUUAGUUCUGGAUGUUGAGCGUGUUGUGUAUGACAGAGAUGUUCUGAAAUACGUGGUUGCUUGGCCAUAUAUUUAUAGUUGCUUAUUACCAUAGAUCCUAAAGGAAGUUCUGUCUUAGGAGUCAGUAAAACGAGGAAUACAGCAGAAACAACUGAGAAACAGAUGUUGCCUUCUCUGAAAGUGUCCCAGUGCCUGGGAACUGCCCCCUAAUCACUUCAAAUUAGAUUGUUUUUAGCAUCAACGGCACGCUGCGCUUCCAAACUCGGUUUGCUGAUCGGAUUCAAUUUCGACUUUCUACCUCAAAACCUCAAAUGAUUCAAAACACAGCAAAAAGCAAGGUUGAGAACAACAAUGUAAAUGAGAGCAGCCAAAUCAAACAGAGGAAAACCUCACAGGGGCUUUCGCAGCCCAGGAGUAAUUGAAAAUAGCUUCCUAUUAACAAAAAAACCCACAUUCUCCCAUGAAACAGCUCUUUUUGGGCUACUGUUCCAGAUUAUGCUGUAAUUUGCCUUAAUUAUUUACACAAUGCUUCAGGUGUGUGCAGUGCUCUUUGGCACUGAACUGAACAGAGAAAAAGCCCUUCCCCAGACAGCUCCCAGCCAGCACAUCGUGUGCAGCACCAGGCAGGAUGGAAAAAGUAAAUGUACCUGGCUGCUAAUCUGUGCAAAUAUUCGUGUCAGUUUUUGACAUGAUUUAUUUAAGUAAAACACAGCUCUCAUUGACAUUCACUGGUUUUGUGAUUGACUUGAAAGGAGUCGGAAUUGUGCUAACAACUGAUGAGGUUUCAUAACAUUUAUUCCUUUCCAUUUGCAAUUGAAACGUGUUUCCAUGUGUGCAGAGGUCUCCAUCUGCUCUCUGUAGUUGGUCAGAGUCUUUUGUUUUAUUGGUUGUUGUAUUUAGUGCUUACUGUUUCCAAUUAACACUGCAAGGACAAAAAAAAAAAAAAAAAGAAUAAUUUUGUAUGGGUCAGGAAAAAGGAAAUUUCCAUGAUUUUUGUCACAUGAGACUUUAAAAAGAGCCUGAAGCUAAAUACUGCAACUACUGUUCACUGGUUCUCUUUAUAGUUAGUGGCCUUUAUAAAUGCAAAAACCCUACUUAGACAUUCAGGUAAUUCAUUUGCCCUUUCCUGCACCCUUCUUCCCUCCGGCAGACUGUAACCUGGAAUUUGUCAUCCAGGCCUUGCAGUCAAUGUAUUACAGGUGAAAUUCAAAAGGAGUUGAAAUCCAAAUUACGAUUGCAUCUCAGCACAUUUGAGAUUGUUUGUGAUAAUUAAGAUGAGUUUUAAAAGCAAGAAUUUGGAAGUAUGUCUUACAGUCUAACACUACUUAAUGAAUUGUAAAACACAGUUUACAGUGAAAAAAGGAUUUUCUGAUGUUCUUAAGUUUAAGAUGCUAACUUAGGAUCUGGAUAAGGAACUGGGUGAAAUGGAGUGCGCCCUUAAAAUAGUGAAAGUUGUACUGCAGGAAGACACCAACCCAGGUGUAAGGCUGAAGGUCAAAAAUGGGCCCCUGAACUUUUUCUGCUGACUACAACAAAACCAGUACUUCAUUACUUGUGCAGAUGCCCUAUUUGUUAGGUCACACUGCUUCCCAAGUAAUCUUCAACAGUGAUCACCCAGUGUUAUUAAAGGCUAAGAAAUUGUAAUCCGUGAACUCUGUAUACCAAUAAAUUGUCUGACUCCCUUUGGUAAUUCCUAUAGCUUUCUUCUAAGAGUAUUGUAUUUUAAUGUUAUCACUGGGGAUCUUCAAAAAUCUAAGUUCACAUGUACACCUACAAACAUAUUUAUUUGUUUUCACACACUCAUGCACAGACCUGAGAGUGUGAAUGUGUGGCCUCUCUGAGUUCUUAGGGUUUCCAGCAAACAACUUGUGUAACUGCCUGGAUGAUGCACAGCCUCCCGCUGUGGUCAGGGAGACGGGCUGCCUUUUUCCCAUUUAGAAUCGUGUGAACAAGCAGAACGUUCUAGUGCAAUUUGUAUCGAGUGCAUACCGGUGGUCAGUGUCUGACUCUAUGGCAGAGGAACUUGAGGUUUGGUCUUCUGUUAUCUACGAUAGCACUGCUGAGUUGUGUGAAGGACGUGUGCCUUUUGCAUGACAGGUACGUGAUCCUUAAAUGGCAACAGAUGUAAAUGUACCUUCAGCCCCCAAAGUAUGGUAUGGUAUGGUAUGUUAUAUUGUGUUGUGUUGUGCUGUGUUGUGUUAUAUCGUACUAUAUUACAUUAUAUUAUAUACCAUUAGCCUUCUCAUUGCUGCCGAGGUGAUGGUCUCAGUGAGAUGUUUCAUGGUAGAAGUGGAUGCAGACUGUGAAGAACUACACAGACCUGUGAUCCAGCACAGGGACACUGACCCUGGCUGUGCUGCCCUCCCCGUUGCCUGCUAAACCCACCCCUGGCAGACCUCAGCACAGCAGGAACAUCGCACACACAUGCAGAAAAUAUUACAGUUGUGUACAGUUGACACUCACAUAAACACAAAUAGAAAUCAUGUGGGAAUUUCUUUUAAUGAACAGCAGCAGAUGUUUUUCUUGCAGGCAAAAGAGGAACAAAUACAUGCUUGACACUUAAUAAAAACAUCAGUAUGUUUGUGCCCAAUACACUAAAAUACUGUUCAGCAAUAAUUCCACCUUGCAAAAAUAUUAUCAGUGUAAUGCUGCCAAGGCCGUUGUGUGUAUCUUGGCCAACCUGGACAUGGGCUGUAGCAAUUUUUAUGUUUGACUUUUCAGAAACCUCUCUGUUUUGUUAGUCAAUCAGUUUAUCUUGCUCAUUCUGUUCCUCAUCCCUUGCCUAUUUUACCCCUUAUUAAUCUCUCUUUCUCCUUUGCCAGACCAUGCAAAAUGUCAUCCAAAUUGGCCAUUCCUCAUUACACUUCAGGUUACAUUAGAACAUUCAUAUAUACACAGUUCACAGAGUGGACUCCUCCAAUACAGAUUUCCUUUCCUGUGUCAAAUGGUACCUGGUUGGCUUGCAGAGCAAGGAGCAACAGUUCCUGCACUAAUGGCAGGGUUAAGGUCUGACACCCAUUAAGGUUUGACACCGUGUCAAAAAUACACUC